GCCGAUGCUUGCAGACUUCUGAAGUGAUGUUACGUUGCUCUAUAUGGCUUGAAGCUUUCGGAAAUUGUUUGGUGAUACUUUGUGUAUUGUGGCCAUCUCACCUGUGACAGCUGGACACCUUGGUAGGAGCUGCCACCGCUGAGCAUUCACCACACAGAAGACAGCUUCUUUUCCAGUUCAAACAUACACCAAAAGGGAAGACAGCAGGCAAGAACCAGCUGGGAUAAGGCAUUGACACAGUGAAAAGGCAUUGGACUGGCUGUUCUGGGUGGUCCCCUCAUUUCAAGGACAGCUUUGAUGGAGGCACAAAUGCUGCUUAAGUCCAGUGGUUUGGAGUCUAUGAUGCAAAAUUGAUUCUGGAUAUAUCGCCCUACAGUGCCAGGAGACAAGUUGUUGGCUUGGGGUGCAGAUCCCUUUGUCAAACCCAGAAUAUUUCAUGUUCUUGCUAAUUCCAGGUACCUGUUCAAUUUGAGCUUGUAAUAAAAGAAAUGCCAUGAAAUCUUCCUGCAACAACAGAAGGAUGUCCUGAUGACCCUGUUGUUCCUAUCCCAGCUGAGAUAAAUUUCCAGCAGUGACUGAGCCAUUCCCUGGCCAGGGGCAGGAUGUGGACUGUGGAUUGUGCAAGGGAUGUUUCAGGGACUGACAGCAUAGCGAGCCAUCAAUCUGAGACAACAACCCAGAGGCGUGCAUGAGAAUGCGAUGCUUUCUGCCACGGGAGAGAAACGACUGGCACAAAAUGACUGUGGAACAGCAUUAAACUCGAGUAAAGAGCUGAAUUAAUCACAGGCUCCAUCAGAGCCCUGGGGAGGGUGGCACAGAAGGAAAAUGAGCCACUGCUGAGAGCUGAGCCAGCAGCCAGCUGAUGAGGUGCUCCUCUCUCCUCCAAGGGAUUCAGCAAAAGGAUUUUUCUCCUCCUUGGAAGUGAGGUGGCCUUUCAAAUGUGGGGAGGAAGAUGACAGUAAACAUAUGUUCUGUUUCCUGUUAGCUGCUGUCAGGGAUUUUUCUCCUCCUGUGUUUGACUGAUUCUUGAUUUGUUUCCACGCUUCUUUUGCUGUACCCAAAAGCAGGAACAAAAGGGCAGAGGAGCAGCAGAAAUGUGAAGACCCAGAACAGCAUUCACCACCCACAGGCAUCACUGUUGGGUAUUUUUUGUAAUAUUUUUAUGUCAGGGAGGGCUGCAUGUGAUGAGAGGAUUUAUGGCUCUAAUUCCUUGUUCCUGCGUAGUCACCACAUCCUUUGGUCUCCUGCUUCUCUGAAACAUCUCACAAGAUUAUUUCAGCCAUCAGCUGCAACUUUUCAGUUUGUGUCUGAAGUAUUUUUGCCCAUGCUCCCUGAUAACUCCCACAGGAUUUAUUUGUUAAAUGAGGAAUUUCUGGACCAGACACCAUGUUGCUUUCAGAACUUUGGGGCAACACAACCUCCUGGAUUCCUUUCUUUUUGUGGCUACACCUGGCCCACACAGGAGGUAGGUAGUGGUUUAGCUAAUUCCUGGGCAAUCAGAGAGGUGAUUAAACCCCUGAUCUUGAAGGGCAAACAAGGUGCAGUGCAGCCCACAGAUGGGCUGAUGGUCCACUACUGGCCUGUGAUAAAGUGGUACCAAGCACAGGGAAAUCUUGGAAGUUGGUAAAGCCAUGAGAGUCAUGGAUUCCUCAUGGCCAGAACGGAACUUGGGGAUCCUGUUUUAAAUAAUUCCUCUGGGAGACACAAGGGGAGAUAAAAUAGAGACCUUGCUUUAUAAUUCUCUCUCUACAAGUUUCUCUCAGUCUGUGAGGCUUAGAGGUAGGAGUAAUCUCAGUGGGAUGUGAAAGCACUUGUGCAGGACAGUAGACCCUCUGAAAUGUAGCUCUGGGCUCUAGAGUUCUGCAGAUGGGGUUAUAAUCAGCCUUUUAUCUCUGUGCUGGGCCAUUUAACACAUUUACACUCUGCCACAUUUACACUCAGCUCCACCAUCUCAUGCUUUGGCCAGAAUAUUUUCCUUGGUGGAUGCCAAGGCUGUGCCCAUCCCGAAAUACACCAGUUCACUGG